GGGACAACGUUUCUAAAGGAACGCUGAUACCGCACACGUCCUACGGGAGAAAGCAGGGGACCUUCGGGCCUUGCGCUAUCUGAUGAGCCUAGGUCGGAUUACCUAGUUGGUGGGGUAAUGGCUCACCGUGGCGACUAUCCGUAGCUGGUCUGAGAGGAUGAUCAGUCACACUGGAACUGAGACACGGUCCAGACUCCUACUGGAGGCACCAGUGGGGAAUAUUGGACAAUGGGCGAAAGCCUGAUCCAGCCAUGCCGCGUGUGUGAAGAACGUCUUCGGAUUGUGAAGCACUUUAAGUUGGGAGGAAGGGCAUUAACCUAAUACGUUGGUGUUUUGACGUUACCUACUGAAUAAGCACCGGCUAACUCUGUGCCAUCACCCGCUGUAAUACAGAGGGUGCAAGCGUUAGUCGCAAUUACUGGGCGUAAAGCGCGCGUAUGUGGUUUGUUAAGUUGGAUGUGAAAGCCCCAGGCUCAACCUGGGAACUGCAUCCUAAACUGGCAAUGCUAGAGUACAGUACAUGGGUGGUGGAAUAUCCUGUGUAACUGUUGAAUGCAGUAGAUGUAUGACGGAACACCUAGUGGACGAACGCGAUCUACCUGGAGCUGAUACUGACGACUGAUGUGCGACAAGCGAUGGGGAGCAAACAGGAUUAGAUACCCUGGUAGUCCACGCCGUAAACGAUGUCAACUAGCCGUUGGAAUCUUGAGAUUUUAGUGGCGCCACCUAACGCAUUAAGUUGACCGCCUGGGGAGUACGGCCGCAAGGUUAAAACUCAAAUGAAUUGACGGGGGCCCGCACAAGCGGUGGAGCAUGUGGUUUAAUUCGAAGCAACGCGAAGAACCUUACCAGGCCUUGACAUGCAGAGAACUUUCCAGAGAUGGAUUGGUGCCUUCGGGAACUCUGACACAGGUGCUGCAUGGCGGUCGUCAGCUCGUGUCUUGAGAUGUUGGGUUAAGUCCCGUAACGAGCGCAACCCUUGUCCUUAGUUACCAGCACGUUAUGGUGGGCACUCUAAGGAGACUGCCGGUGACAAACCGGAGGAAGGUGGGGAUGACGUCAAGUCAUCAUGGCCCUUACGGCCUGGGCUACACACGUGCUACAAUGGUCGGUACAGAGGGUUGCCAAGCCGCGAGGUGGAGCUAAUCUCACAAAACCGAUCGUAGUCCGGAUCGCAGUCUGCAACUCGACUGCGUGAAGUCGGAAUCGCUAGUAAUCGCGAAUCAGAAUGUCGCGGUGAAUACG
rnacentral:rRNA from 2 species